rnacentral:rRNA from 1 species
AAACUGAGAAUAAUACCCGAUAGAACAUUAUGCCUGGAAUGGUUUAUGUUUCAAAUAAUUUAUUGCCGUAGGAUGGGACUGCGGCCUAUCAGUUUGUUGGUGAGGUAAUGGCCCACCAAGACUAUUACAGGUACGGGCUCUGAGAGGAGUAGCCCGGAGAUGGGUACUGAGACACGGACCCAGGCCCUAUGGGGCGCAGCAGGCGAGAAAACUUUGCAAUGUGCGAAAGCACGACAAGGUUAAUCCGAGUGGUUUCUGCUAAAGGAACCUUUUGCCAGUCCUAGAAACACUGGUGAAUAAGGGGUGGGCAAGUUCUGGUGUCAGCCGCCGCGGUAAAACCAGCACCUCAAGUGGUCAGGAUGAUUAUUGGGCCUAAAGCAUCCGUAGCCUGCUUUGUCAGUUUUCGGUUAAAUCCAUUCGCUCAACGAAUGGGCUGCCGGGAAUACUGCAAAGCUAGGGAGUGGGAGAGGUAGACGGUACUCGGUAGGAAGGGGUAAAAUCCUUUGAUCUAUUGAUGACCACCUGUGGCGAAGGCGGUCUACCAGAACACGUCCGACGGUGAGGGAUGAAAGCUGGGGGAGCAAACCGGAUUAGAUACCCGGGUAGUCC